CCAAAGAAAAAGUAUAAUUUAAAGAUGGCUGUUUAAGGAUCAAAUUGCAGCAAUUGGUAAAAGUAGAUAUUAGUCAUAUUUAUGAAGUGACACACAGUGAUACUGAAGGCACUUAUUUCUCAAGAAACAUCAUUUUUUCCCAACAAGAACAUACUACAUCCUAGACAUGAGAUGAAAAUAAGCUUUAAUUUUCACCACAGCAGGGCGACAAUCAGAGAACUGAGGUGGUACAGAUCCAUUAGAGGACCAUAUCCAUGAGUCUAUCAGUCUCUACUGUAGGACAGAGCAAGAAUUUUUAAAGAAUCUCGGUGAAGGCUCCUUUUCAAAAAAAUAUAAAGAUUAAAGCCUUUGAAACGUAAAUUAUUUUUUCCAGUUAUUACAUUGAGGACAAAGUUAUAGUUGCAAAGUUAAGAUUUUUAUAACUAUCUCUAAAAUUGAUUCUCAGUGACUCCCUUGAUCUACAUAUGUUAAGGAAAGAGGCAAGAUGAAGAUGUGUUAAAUAUUUUCCAGUUUUUAAUAAUCACUUUAAUAUAAGGUAUACCCAAAUAAUGGUGAAUUAAAUGACAAAUAUGUUAUAGCAGAUGCUCACUCAUCAACCUGCCUUGAAAUUAAAGGUUUAUAAGGUGCAUAAGGGCAAAGCCUUUGAUGUUGUCAUUACAUUCACAAAGGUAUCUGAGGCACGUACAGCAUGAAGUUCCCUAAGUGCUUGCAACAUAAGCAGCACUAAAUUUUGUUGAAUAAAUAAAUGAAUACUUUUGUAUAGCAUCUGCUCAAAAUCUCUGAUGUAAAAAUGAAAAUAAUCUGAAAAUAUGCAAAACUGAAUUUUCCCACAUACGGUUGCCAAUUCAUACAAUAAGAUAAAUUUCAAAAUGAGAACAUGACAAUAAAAUCAAGUUUCAAAAUGGCUGGCCUUUUAUAGCAAAACCCAUGUUCAAAAAAA
rnacentral:lncRNA from 1 species